AGUGAACGCUGGCGGCAGGCCUAACACAUGCAAGUCGAACGGCAGCACAGUGGAGCUUGCUCCAUGGGUGGCGAGUGGCGGACGGGGGAGGAAUACAUCGGAAUCUGCCCAGUCGUGGGGGAUAACAUAGGGAAACUUAUGCUAAUACCGCAUACGACCUACGGGUGAAAGCGGGGGAUCGCAAGACCUCGCGCGAUUGGAUGAGCCGAUGUCCGAUUAGCUAGUUGGCGGGGUAAUGGCCCACCAAGGCGACGAUCGGUAGCUGGUCUGAGAGGAUGAUCAGCCACACUGGAACUGAGACACGGUCCAGACUCCUACGGGAGGCAGCAGUGGGGAAUAUUGGACAAUGGGCGCAGGCCUGAUCCAGCCAUGCCGCGUGGGUGAAGAAGGCCUUCGGGUUGUAAAGCCCUUUUGUCCGGAAAGAAACGCCUCGGAUUAAUACUCUGGGGUAAUGACGGUACCGGAAGAAUAAGCACCGGCUAACUUCGUGCCAGCAGCCGCAGUAA
rnacentral:rRNA from 1 species